CACAGCGCCGCCUCGCCCGCGCUGCCGCAGGAGCUGCCCCCCCGCUUCCCGCUCCACAAAAUGGCCGCCCGGCGGGGCCAGGGCCAGCGGCGCCCAGGCGACAAAAUGGCGCCGGGCGGGCAGCGGGGGGAAGGACGGAUGAUGGGCGGCUGCGGGAGGCCGGGGAGGCCAGCGUGGGCUUCAGCCGUGCCAGGAGCACGGCGGAGGGGCUCCUCCUGAUGGGUUGAAGCCACCACCAUUCGUUCUCCUCACGGCAUGGAAAAUACCCAAACGCGCUUAAAAAAAAAAAAAAAAAAAAAGACAAAACACCCGAGGAUUGAUUUAUCUUCAGAGCUGGAGUGGCGCGGGGAAGAAGCCAUCACCGCUCGCCUUGCUCCCCACGACAACCUGCCCGCCAUUCCGUUAAUUAAAAGCAUAUACUUGGUGCGAUCAGAGGUGGCAAUACCGUAAAAAAAAAAAAAAAAAAAAAAAGAACCACCAAAAAAUACCCCGUAACAUCCAAAGGCUCGUUGUUGGAGGCUGCAGCCAAGGGAAAUAGAGAAUUGUUUGUGUAACCCCUCUCCACAGCAGAUACCUUCUUUUGCUGGUAUCUCUGCGUUGGCAGGUGUGGAAACGUAGCGACCGUAAGAACGGGAUGUGUUGGUUUGGAGAUACGCCUCAUGCUCAUCAGAGGCCUUCGCUGGCACGGAGCUACGGUGGACCAAGAACCUGGCUGUUUGGGAUGUUUCCACGUUUUUCAGGUUGGCACACCCCGUGGGACUUGGAAUUACUUUUCUUUGGCAGUUCAGGACAAACGAGUGAGAAUUACCUGAACUUUUACCACCCUCUGCUCUGGACUGAAGAGUUACUAGAAAGAACUCCAUCCAUGAGGUUUCCAAGCUAAACAAAACCUGAAUUUCCAGUGCCAAAAAGCAAGCGAGCGAUAGAAACCUCCGCUCCUCCUCCGUAAGGGGGGAAACCUGCAGUCUUUCAAGCUUUCCUAUUUUCCCGAAGAGUUAAAAAGCUGCAUCGGGAGGGCUGCAGAGGUAAAAUGAGAGCCAAAACUUGCCCAGAAACUGUUCUCCUGUGCCGGAUUGCUGGAGAGGUUUUCGAGCGCAGCAGGUCUCAGCGCACAAGUAUUUUUCUUCUGUAUUUUUCUCUGAAGCUGAAAGAGCGAUAACGGCGCAAACGCACAUGCAGUCUGCUCCGUUUAAAACACCAUCCACUCGCUUCGGUAUCAAAAUGGUGUUUGGUGAAACAAAAGCUCUGAUGGUGGCUGCCUCGGUAUUUAUUUUGCGCUGUGUGUGGUGAUCAAUCCGAUGGGGAAUGUGGGGAAGAGCAGCUCACGGAUUUGGACUGUGGGGUUCGCACUAAACCCUUGUCCUGCCAACAUCUCCAGUGUAAUUUCUGUGAUUUUUCCUGGGCAUUGCAUGUGGGACCUUUAUGUAGAAAUAAUACAACAAUUGGGUGUUAAAAACGGCAAAAUACAGGAUAUUGGUGAUCAGUCCAGUCCUAGGUGAUUCAUAUCCUUUGCAGGUGUCAUGUUUGGGUAUCAUCGUAUGGGGUUGGCGCUUUUUGGUUUUGCUUGCUUUGUUUUUCCCCUAAAAUCAAGUAUUUUGCAGCCUGGAAGACCAAAGUCUUCUCUGUCUAGCUGAUGAAAUGCCCCGUGUUUGGGGAAAACCCUUGCGAGGUGAGCAGGUACAGCUCUUCGGUACGUGGCCGCGCAGAAGUUGAGGGGGCAAGGGGAAGCAGGGCAGAAGUAGCACUUUGGUAUUUCUAAUUUUGCCCAACAGGCAAAAAAAAAAAAAAAAGAAAAAGGUAUUAAUUUUAAUAUAUCUGCUAUACCGUAAGCCAGAGUAAGCUCUUUUGCAGUCCCGUGAGGGCACACAGUGUUAAGGUGGCAUGGUUUAGCAAUCACGCUCUGCUCUGCUGCUGAAGAAACGUCUGGUUUUGUGUCGCAAAGUACUUUGGAAACAGAAGUGUGCUUUUAUAUAUAUAUAUAUAUAUAUAUACUCAAAUGGGUUCAGUGUAAAUGGAAUUCCAGGGGCUCUGGAGCUGCGGUUACUGUGCUGCGGAAGGUGACUGGUGCUCAGCCGCCGGCUACAGUGGUGGUAUUUUGUGGCGGCUCCCAUCGCUGGUACUGGGUGGAUAAGAACACCACCGUGAAGUCUAGCGGGGAAGAGCGUUAGAAAAUAAAUUACUAAAUACUGGGUUUCAAAAUCGUGAAGGGAGUUUUGUGGACAGAGCCAUCUCCUUGUGAAGAUUUGGAGCACUGACCCUCAAAGAGGGAAGAACCGAAAUCAAGAGCUUUAUUAAUACAAAUCCUAUGCUUUGUGUUGCUUAGGAUCCAGACCCAGGCUUCGUGCUCAAAGCGUUAUCAGCGCGUAAGCCGAUAUCCUCUGUCUUGGCAACAAACGAGCCCAAAUAUCAAACAGCACCGAUUCCUUCUUGGAGAAAAUUACCCAUUGCAUAAAACGUAAUGGGUAAGCAAUAAAAUUAGGCCAGUAAUUCAGGCUGGCUUAAAAAAGGAGAUAAAAGCCUAGCUGGUAAUUUGAUAUUCAGCUGCCAUACCGUCAUUUUAAUAAAUAUAGUCAAUGAGCAGGAAAGGCACGUAAAUACGUUUUAUAAUGACAAGAUGGUGGCUGGAGCUGGCCGGCUCAAACAAAGGAACGCUCCGAGUGUUUCUGGUGAUGUCUGAGGGCUCUUGCCUGGCUGACUGCUGCUUUUCUGUAAAAAGCCAAGCAAGCUGGACGCGUCCUGGACGCUGCUGGGGAUAAUCACUGCGUGCCACCAGUGUCACCGCUCUAAUCCACGCGAGUCCCCAGCUACGUGGCGAGCUGUCAUGUCCCCACCUCCAGCUGCACCGAGCUGCUGCUCAGCCAGAACCAAGUAUAGGGAAGUUACGCUCUUAGCAAUUAAGAGUUCUGGUUGCUGUCCUUGUUCGGUAUCUAAUCUUUUGCUUUUUUAAAUGUUUGGCCAGCAGUCCCGGCGACACGUGGCAGCGAGCUCCACCGCUUGGGUAAGACGCCGCGUUAAAAAUGUCCCAACUUGCCUUUUCGAGCGUUAUCCGCUCGCUCCUAUUUAUUGACGUUUCCUCCUCGAAGUGAGGCCGUUUCUGGCUCUUUGCGUGGACCCCAAGGAUGUUUUCCGAUUCUCCUGCCCUUUUUUUUCCCCCUCUAAACUGGCGAGCUGCUAACUUUAUUAGCUCCAUAUAUGGCAGCACCGUUUUCUCACGCCUUUAAUGGCUCUCUUUUGAUCUGUCCUGUUCUCGCUUUGCUUUUCUUGACGUGAACGUGGUGUUCAAGCUGAGAUGGGUUUAUAACCUGCCUCCCUCAUUAAUAGAUGACCUGGCAUUUUAAUCCUCUCCAAGUGCCGAUAUGAAACGUCCGAAUGUUUUAACUGCGGGGUUGGCCGAGAUGCCCGGAGAUAGCUGGGUUCCUGGCUACACCCACCGUGCGGACAUGAGUAAUGUAAAUUGCGCCUUGCGGUGCCUCAGCCCCUGCCCUUGCCUGUCCUGAAGGCCGAGGGCCUUUUCUCCUCUUCCUCGCCUGUUUGCCCCUUUGGGAAGGGGAUGCUUGUCCGUGUCUCGCCCCUGGAUGCUCAUUGUGUUGUCACCGGGGAGGCUGGCGUGAACGGUGGCAAUGAUGGCACUGGUUGCUGCCACCUGAGACCGGUCCUUCCUGGAGGUCCCUCUGGCCUGCUGGGAGGAGGGUUGUGCUCGCUCUAGUGUCUCGCCUGGCUCUGUGUUCUUUAAAAUCUUCGAACGAGUCAGAGGGAUCCGGUUACAGCAGCAUCACCCGAGCACAACUGGGAACAGUUUCCCCCCAAAGCGUAGUAAAAAAUAUCAGGAUGGUCCAGAGCUUCGUUUCGCGUCACUGUCCGGGCUUUGUGCUCCUCUUGCAGCUGGCUUUCCUGUGAACGGAGCCCUUCAAGUGCUCGGUUCAACCGUCUCUUCUGUCAGCAGAGUCCGGUGGCUUUGUUUGCCACCCGCGGAUGUCCCUCCUGGCCAGCGUGCCCGCAAGAUGGCCGUGUGACAGCAGUGACCCCGCGGGAGGUUUCCUUUGAAGGACCCGGGAGCCAGCGUGGCUUUCUCAUGUCCCUUGGAGGUGCCGCCCUGGCAGGGAAGGGAAGAAUGGUUGGAAAUGCCGUCGCAGUAAAUACACUCGAUGGGAGAGGGGAGAAUUCGGCAUGGAAAAGCUGAAUCGUGUCCCUUGGAGGUGCCGCCUUGGCAGGGAGGGGGAGAGCGGUUGGAAAUGCCGUCGCAGCAAACACGCUCGAUGGGAGAAUGUGGCGUGGAAAAGCCGUUGGAUGCGUGGUUUGGGUUUCUUCCUCUCCGAAAUGGGUGUCCGGAGAGGUACAGACGCGUAGCGACCGCUCUUUGGGCUUCUGACCCGUCCAAACAGAGCGCUGAGCCCGUUUCCCCGGAGCAGAAACGUGUUGGCAGUGCGUUUUGUCGUGCGCACGUGGCCCCAUGGCAUGUGUUAAAUAAUAGACGGUUUGCGUGCGGAGAG